UCCACGCCGUAAACGAUGUCAACUUGAAGUCUGUGCCAUAGAGCGUGGGCUUCGAAGCUAACGCGAUAAGUUGACCGCCUGGGGAGUACGGCCGCAAGGUUAAAACUCAAAUGAAUUGACGGGGGCCCGCACAAGCGGUGGAGCAUGUGGUUUAAUUCGAUGCAACGCGAAGAACCUUACCUGGCCUUGACAUGUCUGGAAUCCUGUAGAGAUACGGGAGUGCCUUCGGGAAUCAGAACACAGGUGCUGCAUGGCUGUCGUCAGCUCGUGUCGUGAGAUGUUGGGUUAAGUCCCGCAACG
rnacentral:rRNA from 1 species